rnacentral:rRNA from 1 species
UACGUAGGGUGCAAGCGUUAUCCGGAUUCACUGGGUUUAAAGGGUGCGUAGGCGGGCAGGUAAGUCCGUGGUGAAAUCUCUGAGCUUAACUCAGAAACUGCCAUGGAUACUAUUUGUCUUGAAUAUUGUGGAGGUAAGCGGAAUAUGUCAUGUAGCGGUGAAAUGCUUAGAUAUGACAUAGAACACCAAUUGCGAAGGCAGCUUACUACACAGUUAUUGACGCUGAGGCACGAAAGCGUGGGGAUCAAACAGG